CCAGACUCCUACGGGAGGCAGCAGUGGGGGAUAUUGCACAAUGGGGGGAACCCUGAUGCAGCGACGCCGCGUGUGGGAAGACGGUCCUCUGGAUUGUAAACCACUGUCCCCAGGGACGAAGAUGACGGUACCUGGGGAGGAAGCUCCGGCUAACUACGUGCCAGCAGCCGCGGUAAUACGUAGGGAGCGAGCGUUGUCCGGAAUUACUGGGUGUAAAGGGAGCGUAGGCGGGGCUGCAAGUUGGGUGUCAAAUCUACCGGCUCAACCGGUAGCCGCACUCAAAACUGCAGUUCUUGAGUGAAGUAGAGGCAGGCGGAAUUCCUAGUGUAGCGGUGAAAUGCGUAGAUAUUAGGAGGAACACCAGUGGCGGAGGCGGCCUGCUGGGCUUUUACUGACGCUGAGGCUCGAAAGUGUGGGGAGCAAACAGGAUUAGAUACCCUGGUAAGC
rnacentral:rRNA from 1 species